ACAGCCUGUUCAGUCUCCUGAGCAGAGCCUAUGUUUUCUUGUGUAAUGGCACCCCCUUGUGGACGUAUUAAGCAAUGGUCCCUAUUGUACAUACGGGUCAUUUUCUCUUUUUUCUCAACAUUACGUUAACGUGACUCGUCAGUUGUCUAUUCCUAUCGCUGCUCUCAUUGACUUUUUCUCAGUGAAUACUUCCACUCCUGCCCUUCAUGUUCGGUUUCCAGUUACACUACCCUGUCUUUCCUUGUUCCUACAGCUAAAGCAACGUCUUUUCACAAAAUCCUAUAAAGGCUAAAGAAGAAAGACCUGCCUCUUUCAUCUCCUUUCGGGAACUGUUUAACUGGUUGGCUAGCAAGGCCUGCACAGUGAAAAGACGGCUACUCAGCUAACGGUGAAGAAGACAGCCCUCCAACUACACCGCCAAGAAGAGCUAAGUGGCUAACCCCCUUAUACCCACGUCAUAUUGACCCUUUGACUACCGAUUUAUUAAGGCAACAUGGAAGGAACUAACACAUCUAAAAAUGAAGAUGGGCAAUCUACGAGCUCACAUGCAUCCCGUUCAUCAAGCGGCUCAACAAAAGCUAAUCUUGCCGUUGCCAUAGCAAAAGCAAAAGCCGAAGCGGCACAGGCUAGAGUAGCUCAUUCAAAAAAGGAAAUUGAACUGAAAGUUGAGCAGGCUCGCAUCCAAGCUACUCUUGAUGCACUUAAAGAAGAGAAAGAAAUGGACGCAGCCCUAGCAGAGGCAAACACAUUGCAAGCAGGGUUAAUGGACGUGGCAUCAGAUUUUGAAAAAUUAGAAAUAUGCAGCGAAGCCAACAGUCAAGUUCUUUCAAACAGACAAUAUCAACGCACUGCCGCCUAUGUGUCAGAGCAAUCCAGCUUACACUCAGUGCCACUCAGCAUGUGUGAGCUACCAUUUGUUAUUGACAGAAAUAAAGCUGUUGAAUCAACAAAAUGUAACCCGAAGAACGAGCAAGCUGCCACCUCUACCUGCAAUGUGCCUCAUUACACAUCUCAGGCUCCCUCUCCACAGAAGAGUGGCCCAUCAUCUCCCAUUCAGCAGUUAGUAGAUGGAAUCUCCUACAAACCCAGCUGCCGGAACACUGAUCGGCAGCCACUGAUCCACAUCCAGCAGUCACCGCAUGAGAUGCUCCAUGAAACUAGACAGAGCAAACCUGAAAUCACAAACGAUCUUGCCAGAUAUCUUGCCCGCAGUAGGCUGGUGACCUCGGGGCUCACAACAUAUGACGAGCAGCCACUAAACUACUGGGCCUGGAAAAUCUCUUUCCGAAGUGCAAUCAUCGACUUGGACCUAACUGAGAGGGAAGAACUAAACCUGCUAAGUAAGUACCUCGGAAAGGAGUCAGCCGAGCAGGUGAAAAGAAUAGCAGCAGUAAACGUCAGAAAUCCACCCCUUGGACUGGUGAUGGCAUGGGAACGGCUUGAUGAAACGUUCGGCUCACCUGAGGCCGUCGAGCACGCUCUCUUCAGUAAACUAGAAAGCUUCCCUAGAAUUACCAUGAAGGAUCCACAGAAGCUACGGGAUCUUGCAGAUCUGCUGUCAGAGAUGGAAGCCGCGAAACGAGACGGACAUCUCCCAGGCCUAUCUUACCUGGACACCUCAAGAGGAAUUAAUCCUAUCGUGGAGAAACUCCCACACAACAUACAAGAGAAGUGGAUAUCACUCGGUUCAAAGUACAAGCGUGAACAUCAAGUCAGCUUCCCACCCUUUUCUGUGUUUGUAGACCUCAUCCGUACGGAGGCAAAAACUCGUACAGACCCCAGCUUCAACUUCAGCCAUUACUCUACUGGAGGAAAGAAUGCAUGGGAGAGAUCUCCGAAAACAUCCGUGCAUGUUCACAAGACUCAAGCUUCCCCAGCAGUAGAUGGAGAAGACAACGAAAGUGGUGACCCAAACAAAUAUUGCCCCAUUCACAACAAACCUCAUCCUUUGGCGAAAUGUAGAGGCUUUAGAGAAAGGAGUUUGGAAGAACGUCAACAGCUUCUAAAGGAACACUCCAUCUGCUUCCGAUGCUGCUCCUCCACUCAGCACCUUGCCAGGAACUGCUCAGCCGACAUAAGGUGCUCAGAAUGUGAGAGCAUAAACCAUGUUGCAGCCCUCCACCCUGGACUCUCUGCCCGGAGGUCUAAAAUGUCAACCCCGACUUCAGAGCACUGGGAGGAAGAAGACAAAGUGGAUGUACAGGAUCACAUUUCUAGGCAAGACAUCACUUCAGCUUGCACUCAGGUGUGUGGCGAAGGACUCAGCGCGAGAGCAUGUGCCAAAAUAUGCCUUGUCAACGUUUACCCAACUGGACACAGAGAGAAGUCCAGGAAAAUGUAUGCAGUACUCGACGAACAGAGCAACCGCUCCCUCGUACGCUCUCAGUUUUUUGACCUCUUCAAGGUUUCAGGGUGCUCCUACCCAUACACACUAAAAACGUGCGCUGGGCUUAAAGAGACUGCGGGGAGGAGAGCCAAAGGUUACAUGGUGGAGUCAAUAGAUCAAAGUUUGAGCAUUCCCCUGCCAACGCUUCUCGAGUGCAACCAACUCCCCAACAACCGCUCUGAGAUACCUACUCCAGAUGCAGCCUACCACCACACCCACCUGAAGCGGAUCGCCAACAAAAUACCUCCACUUGAUCCGAAUGCCAACAUACUCCUCUUGCUAGGCAGAGAUAUAUUGAGGGUGCACAAAGUCCGCGACCAGAUCAGCGGUCUAGGCAAUGCUCCAUUCGCCCAAAGGCUGGACCUAGGCUGGGUCAUCAUUGGUGAUGUAUGUCUCCGCGGUGCCCACAGACCAUCUCAGGUGAGCAGCUACAAGACAUGCAUCCUAGAGAAUGGUCGCACAAGCCAUCUGCAGCCAUGCACUAACCAUAUCAGGGUCAAGGAGAAGUUCAGUCACUCAUCUACACCGCAAUACCGACCCGCACCCACCUCCACACUGUUCAGCAGAAACAGCUUGGGGCAGAACGUCUUUGCACAAACAGCCAAUGACCAUCACCUCGCACCAUCAUUAGAAGACAUCAGAUUCCUCCAGAUCAUGGACAGUGAGUUCCAUCAAGAUAGCUCCAACAGCUGGGUGGGGCCCUUACCUUUCCGUUCUCCAAGACCACGGCUGCCUGACAAUAGGAAACAAGCACAAGACCGCCUGCUCUCACUCAGACGCACCCUGGAAAAACGUCCUCAGAUGAAGGCUCACUUUCUAGAGUUCAUGGAGAACCUGUUCAGGAGAGAACAUGCGGAGGCCGCACCGCCCCUACGAGACGGACAAGAGCGCUGGUAUCUACCGCUCUUUGGAGUAUACCAUCCCAAAAAGCCUGACAGGAUCCGUGUAGUCUUCGACUCAAGUGCACCAUGUGAAGGGGUGUCACUCAACGACGUCCUGCUCAAAGGCCCCGACCUUAACAACAGUCUGCUGGGCGUACUCAUAAGGUUCAGGAAAGAGCAGGUAGCCAUCACUGCAGACAUCGAGCACAUGUUCCACUGCUUCAUUGUGAGGGAAGACCACAGGGACUUUCUCCGCUUCCUAUGGUUCAGGAACAAUGACCUUAACUCCGACAUUGUGGACUACAGAAUGAGGGUCCACCUUUUUGGCAACAGCCCGUCCCCGGCCGUGGCUGUGUACGGCCUACGGAGAGCUGCCAAAAAAGCAGAAGCGGACUAUGGCAGUGAUGCAAGAGAACUGAUCGACCGCGAGUUCUACGUGGAUGAUGCACUCAAGUCCUUCAACACUGAAGAAGAAGCUGUUAGUGUUCUCCGGCGAGCUCAGGAGAUGCUUGCGGCCUCCAACCUCAGACUGCACAAAAUUGCAUCAAAUCGCCCUGCUGUCAUAGAUGCAUUCCCCCCAGAGGACCGCAGCAAGGAUGUCGGAGACUUGGACCUCUUUGUCGAUGACCUACCCGUCCAACGUAGCCUGGGUUUGUCGUGGAAUAUGUGCACAGACUCCUUCACCUUCCAGAUUGCAGAGAGCCAGAAGCCAUUUACUCGCAGAGGGGUGUUGUCCACAGUGAACAGUCUCUAUGAUCCCCUAGGCUUCCUCGCACCCGUCACUGUUCGAGGAAGACUGAUACUGAGAGCCCUCACCACUCAAGCAGAAGAUUGGGACUCGCCACUUCCAAGAGACAUGGAGACUGAGUGGACCAGCUGGAGAGAGUCUCUCCACGACCUAACAAAAUUACAGAUACCACGCUGCUACACACCCUUCUCCACAGCAGGGGCCCAAACAAGAGAACUCUGUGUCUUUGCAGACACAUCAGUGAAAGCAAUAGCAGCUGUAGCCUACAUUAGGGUGACAAACAAAGAUGAACAAACUGCGGUUGGCUUCGUGUUCGGCAAGACAAAGCUGGCUCCACAGCCCGAUCUUACUAUUCCCAGGCUCGAACUGUGUGCCGCUGUACUCGCAGUAGAGAUAGCCGAGAUGAUAGUCGCAGAGAUGGACGAGACAUUUGACGACAUAACAUACUAUACUGAUAGCAAAGUUGUACUAGAGUACAUCCACAACCAAUCAAGGAGGUUCUAUGUCUAUGUCCACAAUAGAGUCCAGCGAAUCCUCCAGUCACCAUGCUCUGGCCAGUGGAAGUAUGUUCACACUGACCUCAACCCAGCCGAUAUUGGAUCGAGAUCUGUGACUCCAGCUGUCCUGAACAGCACGAUAUGGUUCACAGGACCCACUUUUCUACAAAAUACUCCAGCGCACUCAUCUGAACUACAACAGACUUUUGACCUAAUCGAUCCCGCGUCCGACUCGGAGAUACGUCCCCAAGUGACCACAAGUCUCACCUGUGCCACUGGAAAUGCGAUCAACCCGCUACGCUUUGAACGCUUCUCUGAGUUCAACAACCUUGUCACCGCAGUAGCACACUUGAUCCAUGUGGCUCGGUCUUUCUCCCACUCCAUCCAAGGCAAGUGCCAGGGCUGGCACUUCUGUCGCCCAACGGAGGAAGAGUUGUCUAGGGCGAAGGUGUGCAUCUUGAAGAGUGUCCAGAAUAACUGCUAUGAAGAAGAGCUCGAGUGUGUGUAUUCGGGACUUAACAUCCCAUCGUCCAGCAAUCUAAAGAAGCUUCACCCUGUGAUAGACUCAAACGGACUUUUGAGGGUCGGAGGCCGUAUACGGCAGUCAGGCCUGAGCACUGACGAGACUCAACCCAUCAUCAUCCCUGGGCGCAAUCACCUGGCAACCCUGCUGGUGCGCCACUAUCACAAAGUUGUGAAACAUCAAGGAAGACACUUCACCGAAGGAGCUGUCCGAGCUGCUGGAUUUUGGCUAGUCGGGGGAAGACGCUGCAUCACCAGCAUACUUUUCAAGUGUGUCAUCUGUAGAAGGUUACGAGGAAACACAGAACUUCAACAAAUGGCGAACUUACCAGCUGAACGUCUGCAGGUAGCACCUCCCUUCACCUAUGUCGGCGUUGACAUCUUCGGACCAUGGGACGUCAUCUCACGACGCACAAGAGGGGGACUUUCCAACUCCAAAAGAUGGGCUGUAAUGUUUUCAUGCAUGUCUUCAAGGGCAGUACAUAUUGAAGUGAUCGAGGCCAUGAGUUCCAGCAGCUUCAUCAACGCCUUGCGGAGGUUCUUCGCUGUUAGGGGCCCCGUCAAACAAAUACGGUCUGACCGUGGGACCAAUUUCGUCGGUGCCUCUCGAGAACUGAAUAUGGACAAACCAAUUCAGAGCGCCGAUGCAGUAGAGAAAUUCCUCAGCACCCAGAGCUGCUCCUGGGUCUUCAAUACUCCCCACGCGUCUCACACGGGUGGCGCAUGGGAGCGCAUGAUUGGCAUCGCCCGCCGCAUUCUAGACUUCAUGCUGCUUGAACAGAAGAAAUCUCAGCUUACCCAUGAAGUCCUCACCACCCUCAUGGCGGAGGUCAUGGCAGUCAUGAAUGCAAGACCCCUCAUCCCAGUGUCAUCAGAUCCCGAAUAUCCCCUCAUCCUCACACCAGCAAUGCUUUUGACCCAAAAAACAGGCUCCACUCCUCCUCCCCCUUGCAAUCUUGAGGAAGCAGAUCUUUUCAAAGAAGAGUGGAAGCAAGUGCAGAGCCUGGCCGACACCUUUUGGAACAGGUGGAAGUGCGAAUACCUCAAAACGUUGCAGCUUCGCAACAAAUGGCAAGACAAAAGGCCUAAUAUUCAUGAAGGUGAUGUCAUCCUCCUGAAGGACAAUCAGGCAAAGAGGAACGAAUGGCCUGUGGGCAUUGUCACUAAGACUUUUCCAGGAGAAGAUGGAUUGGUCCGGAAAGUCGAGGUAGCGGUCGUCAAAGAUGGAAUCAGAAAGACUUUCUUUCGACCUGUCGUCAACCUGGUGCUGCUUCUUUCCACAAAGACUGUUUAGUGUGGGAUCUCUAAAGACCCCAUGCGGGGAGUGUUCAGUCUCCUGAGCAGAGCCUAUGUUUUCUUGUGUAAUGGCACCCCCUUGUGGACGUAUUAAGCAAUGGUCCCUAUUGUACAUACGGGUCAUUUUCUCUUUUUUCUCAACAUUACGUUAACGUGACUCGUCAGUUGUCUAUUCCUAUCGCUGCUCUCAUUGACUUUUUCUCAGUGAAUACUUCCACUCCUGCCCUUCAUGUUCGGUUUCCAGUUACACUACCCUGUCUUUCCUUGUUCCUACAGCUAAAGCAACGUCUUUUCACAAAAUCCUAUAAAGGCUAAAGAAGAAAGACCUGCCUCUUUCAUCUCCUUUCGGGAACUGUUUAACUGGUUGGCUAGCAAGGCCUGCACACAGCCAGUAUAAAAAAGUCUACAUAUUGUAAUAUUUACCAUGGCAGGUUUCCAAACCACAGUCGCCUGUGUAGAGCAAUACACACAUUAGCGUUGUGCCAUACAAGCGGCGAGAGAGAAUGUAACUCCAACACACAUAAAGUAAGAUAGUUGCGAUCGCCUUACGAUUACCACAAUAGCGCUAAAGAUAAAAAUAAAAUUCCCUUUAUCUUCAAAUGCAUAGUCACAAUACGCCUGACUUACAUUGCUGCUAGCAACGUUGAGCUACUGAAUAAUUUCCACCACCGAUAGGCGGUACACCAGUGCUUGUAAAGUUGGGUUUCAGCCAAAUGUCGCAAGGGUAAAUGGAAGAGCUUGGUGAUUAAAGGUUCAGACAACUCCAAACAUCUACAUGACAUCAUCUGAAGCAGUUCACAAUCAAUACUUAUCUUAUAACAUGACAAAUAUAUAAAACCUUUUACGUGAAAUACAUAUACUCACCAAAGAUGUCAAUUCCUCCUCCUCAGUCAGCCAUUUUGGCGUGACUUAGCUUGUUGAACAGUUUUGCUGUAAUCAACCAAUCAGAGGACGGAAAAGUGCCGAUGUCACUGUACUGUAUGCUGGAACAUACAUACAACAUACAUGGCUAGCUGGCUAAUCAGAAGUCUGAUUCUGAUUCUGAAAAGAACAGCCCCUUACUAAUAGUGUGUUUGUGGCGGGGGCUAACACUCGUGACACUGAAGGCUCUGGGCAUGACAUUUAUAUGGCAACACAUAGAAGCUGAAAUCUGAUUGGACAAAAAAAAAUCUAACAUACACAGCACACAGCCAAGAGACACGCAGCUAAACAAAUUAUUGACUAUUGGAAUAAAUUAAUACAAUUUCAUGUUAUUACUGUCAUUGCUAGAAUUUAAGUUGUAAAUGUGGCUCAGUGCUUUUGAUUGUGUUUAGGAAAAUAAAUAUUAGUAUUUGAUAUGUACAGUACAUUCAGAAGUAGACAUAGUUUUAAAUGUGGAAACAUUUAUUAAUAUUCAAUUUAUUUUUUGUGUGUGGAAGCUGUCCUAAAGCUGUUUGCGCUACAAUGUUUGUAUUGCAUUUUUCCUAAAAAACAAAACAAACAAAAAAAACUUCGCAAUUUUUUUUAAGCUUUUAGGCAUUUGAGAUACCACUGAAUGUUUUUAACUAAAAGAAGAGCAAAAAAGAUUUGGUUGGUCAACCUCAACUUGACGAAUUACAUUUCAGUGUGAGCUUGCUUACUACAUAACAUAAUACAUGAUACGCUUUUGUUAUGGGCCCAAAAUGGAUGUGCUUGUGUGUUUUUAUGUGUUCUUUUUUCACUCGUUUUUUGUCAGGUCGUUGUCAAGACUGAUUGAUGAGAGUCUAGCUUGUCAUGUUAGCUAGACUAGACUAGAUCCAAUGUAAAACUUACUGCCUCUGUACAUUUUCUAAUAAAUGCACUAAAAUGUUCCAAAGCUAACCUCUACAAAGUCUGCAUGUGUAUAUUUUCACUCUACUACACUUUAUUACCUUUAAACUUUGACUUGAAGUUCAGUUACAGUUUGAGCUGGUGGAGGAGUGGGAGCUGCAGAUGACAGUGGGUUCAGAUAUAAUGCUAUUUAAAUGCUAAUGUAUUAAGGGGUGCAAAACGACCUUUACUCACUAUACAGUAUGUAGCUACAUGUCUUAACAAAUGAUCCUCAUUCUUUGACUUUUAUCCCUUAACACUUCAUGUCAGUUUGAGGCUUUACUUUAUCAAUAUGAAAUCUAGGUGGCUCUGACAAUGCUAAAAAGUCAGUUAGUGGUGCUCGUCUUAAGGCAGACAUGAUCAAACAAUGCUCUGGGUUUAACUGAACAAGUGACUAUUGGGUUUUAAAGACAUUGAAGAGAGUUGGUUCUAUUGCCAUCACUAGUAAGAUUAAGAUUGCCAUUCAAAUUUGGAGAGGGGUGGAGAAUGUUCCAACCAAUGGAAUUAUGACAAAGCUCCAGGAAUGUUCACCCUGAAAAUGCGACCACUUGUGUGACCACUUUGAUCUGCGCUCAAGCUCGUUACACCAGCACAUGAUUGGUUAUGUAUUAUGCAUAUGACAAUAAAACUCUUGAAUCUUGAAUCUUGAUAUGCACAUGAGCAACAUAGCCAGGUCGGUCCUCGCCAGUUUUGAGUAACCGAAAGAUAAAUAGGAAGACUCAAAGUCAUCCACAAAGGCAAAACCUAUGGGAUGCUCGCUUCCACCUAUGUAUGUCCAUGCACAUAAAGAACUGUCAUUUAAUUAAUGUGACCGCUCCUCCCGCAAGUUGUAAAUGCAAGUCGCCGCACAGCACAAAUGGUCAGUGUAAAUGCAGGUCAGCGGCGACCAAGGGAGGGAGCGUGAAUCGCACCCAAGUCCGGCACAUUUCGAAUGGGUCUUUUGCUAAUCCAAACUGGAAUUGUUCCACAUUGGGUGGAGGUUUGCACUCUACUGCCACAUUUGAAAGGGCACAUUCAUACAGGGUUGGUUGUAUUUAGGCACAGU